rnacentral:rRNA from 1 species
GAUGAACGCUGGCGGCGUGCUUAACACAUGCAAGUCGAACGAAGCGUCCCGCCCGAUGAAACGGAGUGCUUGCACAAAGUAGAAUCAAUUGGGAUGACUUAGUGGCGGACGGGUGAGUAACGCGUGGGUAACCUGCCUUACACAGGGGGACAACAGUUGGAAACGACUGCUAAUACCGCAUAACCCGCUAGUACCGCAUGGUACAGACGGAAAAGAUUUAUCGGUGUAAGAUGGACCCGCGUCUGAUUAGAUAGUUGGUGAGGUAACGGCUCACCAAGUCGACGAUCAGUAGCCGGCCUGAGAGGGUGAACGGCCACAUUGGGACUGAGACACGGCCCAAACUCC